UUUCAUGGAGAGUUUGAUCCUGGCUCAGGACGAACGCUGGCGGCGUGCCUAAUACAUGCAAGUCGAGCGAAUCAUGAGGUGCUUGCACCUCUUGGUUAGCGGCGGACGGGUGAGUAACACGUGGGCAACCUGCCUGUAAGACUGGGAUAACAUCGGGAAACCGAUGCUAAUACCGGAUAAUCCUUUUCCUCUCAUGAGGGAAAGCUGAAAGUCGGCUUCUCGCUGACACUUACAGAUGGGCCCGCGGCGCAUUAGCUAGUUGGUGAGGUAACGGCUCACCAAGGCGACGAUGCGUAGCCGACCUGAGAGGGUGAUCGGCCACACUGGGACUGAGACACGGCCCAGACUCCUACGGGAGGCAGCAGU
rnacentral:rRNA from 1 species